GAGAGAGGCCCAGCGGCAACGAGAACUGCUAAUUCCCGUCACCCCGGUUAAAACCCGAGGCUCACUCG
rnacentral:tRNA from 1 species